GCUUUUCGGCUUAUUCCUGCGGGCUCACUUUUGAUUGCAUUUGCUGCGUCCCAAAGGAGGCCUCUGCCCUCUGGAUUCAUUGCUUGGCUCUCCAUCGCUCUCUUCGGCCUUGUUGAUGCUGCUUGUUUCCAGGGUUUUCUUGCUGAGGGAUUACAGAGGACAUCUGCAGGUUUAGGCAGUGUUAUAAUCGACUCACAACCUCUGACAGUGGCUGUACUUGCAGCCUUGUUAUUUGGUGAAUCCAUUGGGUUGGUUGGAGCUGCAGGCCUUGUACUCGGNNNNNACUUUCACUUCUUGAGUUACCUGCUCUUGCUAUUGAUGAGAGUAAUUUUUCUUUGUGGGGA
rnacentral:misc_RNA from 1 species